rnacentral:rRNA from 1 species
ACACAGGAAGGAUUGACAGAUUGAUAGCUCUUUCUUUAAUUUCUGUGGGUGGUGGUGCAUGGCCGUUCUUAGUUCGUGGAACUGAUCUGUCAGCUUUAAUUGCGUUAACGAACGAGUACCUUUAAUUAUUAAUUAGUUAAAUAUAUAGUAAUAUAUACUUUAUUUUCUUUUUCUUCAUUUGAGAAAGAAAACAUGACUUCUUAAAAUAACAAUUGGUGAUUAACCAAAGUAAGUUAGGCAAUAACAGGUCUGUGAUGCCCUUUAGAUGUUCUGGGCUGCACGCGCGUUACACUGAAAAUAUCAAUAAGUUUUUAUAUAUCCAAACAAUUAUAUUUUAUAUAUUUGUUUUGAUAUGUCCUUGAUUGAAAAAUUUGGGUAAACUUGAUAACUAUUUUCGUGAUGGGGAUUGAUAAUUGUAAUUAUUUAUCAUGAACG